AACGAACGCUGGCGGCAGGCCUAACACAUGCAAGUCGAACGCCCCGCAAGGGGAGUGGCAGACGGGUGAGUAACACGUGGGAACGUACCCUUCGGUUCGGAAUAACACAGAGAAAUUUGUGCUAAUACCGGAUACGUCCGAGAGGAGAAAGAUUUAUCGCCGAUGGAUCGGCCCGCGUCUGAUUAGCUUGUUGGUGAGGUAACGGCUCACCAAGGCGACGAUCAGUAGCUGGUCUGAGAGGAUGAUCAGCCACACUGGGACUGAGACACGGCCCAGACUCCUACGGGAGGCAGCAGUGGGGAAUAUUGGACAAUGGGGGAAACCCUGAUCCAGCCAUGCCGCGUGAGUGAUGAAGGCCCUAGGGUUGUAAAGCUCUUUUACCUGGGAAGAUAAUGACUGUACCAGGAGAAUAAGCCCCGGCUAACUUCGUGCCAGCAGCCGCAGUAAUAC
rnacentral:rRNA from 1 species